rnacentral:rRNA from 1 species
GACGAACGCUGGCGGCGUGGAUUAGGCAUGCAAGUCGAACGCGAAAGAUAUCCUUCGGGAGAUCGAGUAGAGUGGCGGACGGGUGAGUAACGCGUAGGUAUCUGCCUUUAAGUGGGGGAUAGCCCGAAGAAAUUCGGAUUAAUACCGCAUGUGGAACUUCGGUUCUAAAGAUGGCCUCUGUUUCAAGCUAUCGCUUAGAGAUGAGCCUGCGUCCUAUUAGCUAGUUGGUAAGGUAAUGGCUUACCAAGGCGAUGAUAGGUAGGCGGCUUUAACGAGUGGUCGCCCACACUGGGAUUGAGAUACGGCCCAGACUCCUACGGGAGGCAGCAGUCGAGAAUAGUCUACAAUGGAGGAAACUCUGAUAGUGCGACGCCGCGUGGAUGAAGAAGCAUUUCGGUGUGUAAAAUCCUUUUCUUUGUGAGCAAUGCCUGUAUGAUCAAUAGUUUUACAGGAGAGAUAUUAGCAAAGGAAUAAGCUCCGGCUAACUCCGUGCCAGCAGCCGCGGUAACACGGGGGGAGCAAGCGUUGUCCGGAAUUACUG